AUACACAAUCAACAACGAAACGAGAGCACAAACAGUGCUACAACCAACUAGAGCAAGCGAUACAAGUAAAAUCAUACAAGUAUACAAAAGAGAGAAACUUAGCUAAUCGAGUCAUCAUUGAAACAUUAAACCUCUUUCAAUAUCAUUUACAGUUCAACCAUUUAAUACAACUUGCAUUCUUUCCCCAAAAUGAAAAUACAUCAUAUGCUCUCCAAAAUCUCACCCUAUACAUCAUCUACUCUCAAGCAUAACCAAAAAUAUAGGGUAUAGAGCUAAUGCAAGUAGGUAAAGUAGGCUAUCUACCAAAAGCUAGGGCGCUAUGCCCUUACCGCGAUCCAUCGAUGACGGCCCACUGACCUGUGUACCUGUACCCCCAAAACCACACGGGGGUGAGAACUACGAAUAGUUCCCAGUGGGUUCGGCCGCCGACUCCGCCGAUCUACCCACUAGGUCUAAAGCAGGCAUAGAGAGAUAUAUAUAUGCAGUAUAUAUAAAACUGAGCUGAACGGAAAGCAGGUAUGUAAACAACUAUAUCAAGCUAUGCCUUAAUCUGGAAUCAUGAAUGCAUGAACAAUAAAUAAAGCUGGGUAAGUAAGCAACUAUCAACAUCUACAACAGCUAGCAUAGUAAGCUAUAAACAUGCUACUAGGUAAGCAAACAAGCUGAAAUGAACAAUGAACAGCUACUAUGACAUCAAUCAUGGGUAAGACUCAAUGGGUAACCCAAUCUCCAAGCGAACACAAGGUUCACGAGCAAGGCUCACAUAUCAAUCUCCGAGGGAUGCCUAGCUGGUCGAUCCCCGAGUACGCCUGCGGAUAACAAGCGGCUAUCCGAGCAGCGAGCAGGGCUGCCUCUCUAGUGACCAAACUCCGGAGCGCACAACUUGAGGGGAGCGACCCCACCAAGCGCAGACAGGCAAUGUGAGCAAGAUCAUCUCACGAGCAACANN
rnacentral:lncRNA from 1 species